CUCGUUGCCAAAUUAUAACAUGGCUGGUACAGUUUGAUACCGAGUGAAAGCUGCUGCAGCAGAAAUGGUCUGAAUUAACUAGCUUAUUAUGACUAAUCACAUCCACCCAAUCCUUGCACUAUAGUUCAAUUGAAGAAGGGUAUUUACAUGAAGUUGCCAAAUAAUUCUAGCCAGAGUUUGCGAAUGCACACUUCCCUAAUUUAAAAAUGAAAUGGUCUGCUUAUCUCAUCUUUACUCUGCAGGCUUGCACAAGUAUCUGUCGGUAUGCUACAUGAAUUUUCUUUGUUAUAAACAGAUGGACUAAGUUGGAGAGCCAAAAAGGUCGAGAUACAUUCUUCUCCAAGGAUAUUAGCAUAUUGACAUGGAAGAAUGGGCGGAAUGCCCUUUUUUCUGUAUUUUGCUCUAAAUGCUAAGAAAUUGCCAUUAAAAAAGCCCAAAAGGCAACUAUAUAUCGAAAUCUGGCCCAUAGCCCCAAUGCAAGAUUUCACCCACCCCAACCAACCAGGCUAAGGACCAAGUCCCACCCACAAACCACAGUUAAGAGCACACCGCCGUCAAAGAAAAGGAGCUACGUGCCGCCAAUCAUUGUUGCCGCUCCGUCUGCAAUCCCGAGAGCCAAACCUAGCCUCCUUGGGCAGCCGAACGAACCUCAGAAGCAGAAAAUCAAAGAGCAUCUACCAACAAGCCAAGCAAGGCUAAAAAGAAAGUAAAAAGCAGACGCUCCAAACCAAGCAAAAGCCCAAAAUCUCAAAUAUUGGAGGUAAGGAUCUAUCCCUGGAGAGGCUGCGAAGGAGGGCAGUAGGAUUUGUAUAAAGCAGUUUCAUAGUAGUAAAUUAAUUACCUUGCAAAUAGAAAUAGUUGAACCAGAACUUAAAAACUUAUAGCCAAAAGCUUUUAGAUGGACAAUGAAAGAAAAAUAAAAUAAUUUAUUUGGUUUUUUUCAAUUACGAAAAAAUGUUCCAAAGUUAGACAGGUAAUUAAUUUUGUGACCAACUCUGUAAACCAUCAAAUGUUCCAUGCACUUAAUAAAGGGCCUUAUCAACCCCUGCCAACUUGUUCCUCAGGACCCACCUGUUA
rnacentral:misc_RNA from 1 species